rnacentral:rRNA from 1 species
UACGGAGGAUGCAAGCGUUAUCCGGAAUGAUUGGGCGUAAAGGGUCCGCAGGUGGCAGUGUAAGUCUGCUGUCAAAGAAUGAGGCUUAACCUCAUCAAGGCAGUGGAAACUACACAGCUAGAGUACGGUCGGGGUAGAAGGAAUUCCUGGUGUAGCGGUGAAAUGCGUAGAGAUCAGGAAGAAAACCGGGGGCGAAAGCGUUCUGCUAGACCUGUACUGACACUGAGGGACGAAAGCUAGGGGAGCGAAUGGG